ACUUGCCAAGGUCGUACGCUUCUUUUUCCACCGGAGCUUGCUCCACCGGAAAAAGAAGAGUGGCGAACGGGUGAGUAACACGUGGGUAACCUGCCCAUCAGAAGGGGAUAACACUUGGAAACAGGUGCUAAUACCGUAUAACAAUCGAAACCGCAUGGUUUUGAUUUGAAAGGCGCUUUCGGGUGUCGCUGAUGGAUGGACCCGCGGUGCAUUAGCUAGUUGGUGAGGUAACGGCUCACCAAGGCCACGAUGCAUAGCCGACCUGAGAGGGUGAUCGGCCACAUUGGGACUGAGACACGGCCCAAACUCCUACGGGAGGCAGCAGUAGGGAAUCUUCGGCAAUGGACGAAAGUCUGACCGAGCAACGCCGCGUGAGUGAAGAAGGUUUUCGGAUCGUAAAACUCUGUUGUUAGAGAAGAACAAGGAUGAGAGUAACUGUUCAUCCCUUGACGGUAUCUAACCAGAAAGCCACGGCUAACUACGUGCCAGCAGCCGCGGUAAUACGUAGGUGGCAAGCGUUGUCCGGAUUUAUUGGGCGUAAAGCGAGCGCAGGCGGUUUCUUAAGUCUGAUGUGAAAGCCCCCGGCUCAACCGGGGAGGGUCAUUGGAAACUGGGAGACUUGAGUGCAGAAGAGGAGAGUGGAAUUCCAUGUGUAGCGGUGAAAUGCGUAGAUAUAUGGAGGAACACCAGUGGCGAAGGCGGCUCUCUGGUCUGUAACUGACGCUGAGGCUCGAAAGCGUGGGGAGCAAACAGGAUUAGAUACCCUGGUAGUCCACGCCGUAAACGAUGAGUGCUAAGUGUUGGAGGGUUUCCGCCCUUCAGUGCUGCAGCUAACGCAUUAAGCACUCCGCCUGGGGAGUACGACCGCAAGGUUGAAACUCAAAGGAAUUGACGGGGGCCCGCACAAGCGGUGGAGCAUGUGGUUUAAUUCGAAGCAACGCGAAGAACCUUACCAGGUCUUGACAUCCUUUGACCACUCUAGAGAUAGAGCUUCCCCUUCGGGGGCAAAGUGACAGGUGGUGCAUGGUUGUCGUCAGCUCGUGUCGUGAGAUGUUGGGUUAAGUCCCGCAACGAGCGCAACCCUUAUUGUUAGUUGCCAUCAUUCAGUUGGGCACUCUAGCAAGACUGCCGGUGACAAACCGGAGGAAGGUGGGGAUGACGUCAAAUCAUCAUGCCCCUUAUGACCUGGGCUACACACGUGCUACAAUGGGAAGUACAACGAGUCGCGAAGUCGCGAGGCUAAGCUAAUCUCUUAAAGCUUCUCUCAGUUCGGAUUGCAGGCUGCAACUCGCCUGCAUGAAGCCGGAAUCGCUAGUAAUCGCGGAUCAGCACGCCGCGGUGAAUACGUUCCCGGGCCUUGUACACACCGCCCGUCACACCACGAGAGUUUGUAACACCCGAAGUCGGUGAGGGUAACCCCC
rnacentral:rRNA from 1 species